GCACUCUCCUCCCUCCUCCCCUUCACCCCCGAAGCCAUGGAGGACACCUACCCCACCCGCUCCUCCCCGAUAUCCACCGCCGACGCCUUCCUGGCCCCCGACUCCGCCUCCGGCUCCCAGAUCGGCAGCGCCCCCGGCAGCCUCAAGGCUGACGCCGGCGUCCUCGGCGACGGCGCAUCCGGGAGCUACAAGGGAGAGGGCGCGGGGGUACUCGCGGCGUCGGAUGCGGAGUACGGGUUCCAGCGGGCGGAGAUGGGGCAGCUGCCGCUGGCGGGGUCGGUAGGGCUGUAUGAGAGGCAUGUGUUUCUGUGUUAUAAGUCGCCGGAGGUGUGGCCGUCGCACGUCGAGGCGGCGGAGUUUGAUCGCCUGCCGCGGUUGCUGUCGGCGGCUCUGGCCGCGCGGAAGGGCGCUAUGAAGAAGAAGACUCGACUGACCAUAUGUGGAGGAGAGGAUGGUACAGACGCAUCAAACGGGGAUGUAUUGAUAUUCCCUGACAUGAUCAGAUACAGGCGAUUGACACACUUUGAUGUUGAUAAUUUUGUGGAAGAAGUACUUGUGAAAGACACUGAGUGGCUUCCUGGAGCAGUUGAGACACUGACAGGAUCAUAUGUUUUUGUAUGUGCUCAUGGUAGCCGAGACAAAAGAUGCGGUGUUUGUGGUCCUGCUCUCAUUAAAAAAUUUGAGAAGGAGAUAAGUAAUCAUGGUCUUCAGGAUCAAGUUUUUGUUAGUCCAUGCUCUCAUAUUGGGGGGCAUAAAUAUGCCGGAAAUGUCAUUAUUUUCAGCCCAAAUCUCAAUGGAGAAGUGACUGGUCAUUGGUAUGGAUAUGUUGC
rnacentral:misc_RNA from 1 species